AGGAUAAACGCUGGCGGCGUGCCUAACACAUGCAAGUCGAACGUCUCUUCUUUCGGGAAGAGGAGUGGCGGACGGGUGAGGAACACGUGGGAACCUGCCCUACAGUGAGGAAUACCGGCGAGAAAUCGCCGACAAGACCGCAUAGCCCUCUCUGGUGAGAGCCAGAGAAGGAAAGCUUCGCAAGAGGCGCUGGAGGAGGGGCCUGCGUCCGAUUAGCUAGUUGGUGGGGUAAGAGCCUACCAAGGCGUCGAUCGGUAGCUGGUCUGAGAGGACGAUCAGCCACACUGGGAUUGAGAACGGCCCAGACUCCUACGGGGGGCAGCAGUGAGGAAUUUUUCGGCAAUGGGGGAAACCCUGACCGAGCAACGCCGCGUGCAGGAAGACGGCCUUCGGGUUGUAAACUGCUUUUCUUUGGGACGAGCAAGGACGGUACCAGAGGAAUCAGCCCGGCUCACUACGUGCCAGCAGCCGC
rnacentral:rRNA from 1 species